GGUAACGGUUCAGUCUGCCAUUUUACACAGUGACUGCUAGCUGAAGCUCCAAAGUGACAGACCACAACUCACCGUGAAGGAGUCAGCCUGUUUGCUAAAGUACAGCAUGAGUGACGUCAUGUUGUGAUCAAACAUCCUGCCCAACAUUUUGUUUUUAAGCACAAGUCAAAUUAACAGUGGCGUAGAAACGCUGUAGUAGUGAGAGGCCCUGGAUGGAUAGCCUGGACCCUGAAACCCUCUAUGUGUCUCCAGAGCAGACUGGACAGCCCACACUCCCCCUCCCCACAUCGGAUGUCCCCAACUUGGCAUUAGGGGGUGGGAAGAAGAUGAAUGGGUCUCUGGACCACCCCGACCAACCAGAUGUUGAUGCCAUUAAGAUGUUUGUGGGACAGAUUCCACGGUCCUGGUCUGAGGAGCAGCUUCGUGAACUAUUUGAGCCUUAUGGAGCAGUUUAUGAGAUAAAUGUUCUCCGAGACCGCAGCCAGAAUCCACCACAGAGCAAAGGCUGCUGUUUUAUAACAUACUAUACUCGAAAAUCAGCCUUGGAAGCACAGAAUGCUCUGCACAACAUGAAGAUUCUUCCAGGGAUGCACCACCCGAUCCAGAUGAAGCCGGCUGACAGUGAGAAAAACAAUGCAGUGGAGGACAGGAAGCUGUUUAUCGGAAUGAUCUCAAAGAAAUGUAACGAGAACGACAUCCGACUGAUGUUCUCACCGUACGGACAGAUAGAGGAGUGCCGGAUACUUCGAGGCCCUGAUGGACUCAGCCGAGGUGAGGCAGAGUGCAGACAAGAUAGAAUUUUCCUCAGAGAAGUCUCCUCUCAGAGUCGUGACACAUCGUGUUUCUCUCCUGCAGGUUGUGCAUUUGUGACAUUCACAGCGAGACAAAUGGCCCAGUCAGCCAUCAAGUCCAUGCACCAGUCCCAGACCAUGGAGGGCUGCUCGUCGCCCAUCGUGGUGAAGUUCGCAGACACUCAGAAGGACAAGGAGCAGAAGCGCAUGGCCCAACAGCUGCAGCAGCAGAUGCAGCAGCUCAGUGCUGCCUCCAUGUGGGGAAAUCUCACGGGGCUCAACAGCCUGGGGCCUCAGUACCUAGCACUCUACUUACAGCUACUGCAGCAGUCGGCCUCCACGGGGAACGCACUCAACAACCUGCACCCUGUUUCAGGUCUUAAUGCCAUGCAGAACCUGGCUGCUCUAGCAGCUGCAGCUACUGCCACACAGGCCACGCCCACAGGCUCCAGCGCCAUGACGACAUCUAGCAGCCCACUAAGUGCACUAACAAGCUCAGGCUCCUCCCCAACCUCCAGCAGCAACUCAUCAGUCAACCCCAUGGCUUCUCUGGGGGCCCUGCAGUCUCUGGCUGCUGGUGCUGGAGCUGGACUCAACAUGGGCUCUCUGGCAGGCAUGGCGGCUCUGAACGGCAGCCUCGGCUCUGGAGGCCUGUCUAAUGGCUCAGGAAACACCAUGGAGGCACUGAGCCAGGCCUACUCAGGCAUCCAGCAGUACGCUGCUGCUGCGCUCCCCAGCCUGUAUAACCAGAGCCUGCUGUCCCAGCAGAGCGUCUCAGCUGCAGGCAGCCAAAAGGAAGCCAGCGACAGUCGCAGCACUGGUCCAGAAGGUGCCAACUUGUUCAUCUACCACCUGCCCCAGGAGUUCGGAGACCAGGACCUGCUCCAGAUGUUUAUGCCCUUUGGAAACGUCAUCUCUGCUAAAGUCUUUAUCGACAAACAGACAAACCUCAGCAAGUGUUUUGGCUUCGUGAGCUACGACAACCCCGUGUCAUCGCAGGCGGCCAUCCAGUCAAUGAAUGGUUUCCAGAUCGGUAUGAAGAGGCUGAAGGUGCAGCUGAAGCGCUCAAAGAAUGACAGCAAGCCUUACUGAAGGUGCUGAGGCACUGCAGACUUAGUUAGGCAGGGCGGUGUUAUGGUAAGUGGAGUAUGAAUAACCAAGACUGGUCUACUCAGAAACUUGUCUAUGCAUUACAGGGCGAUGUCUGCUGCGCUGCCUCUCCUGGUCACUAUGUCCAGGCAACGAGUCACGUCAAGCUACAUGCAAGAGUUUUCAUGCUAGACUGGAUUCUUCCUGUGUUACGUUGUGGUUCAUGCACUUUGUUUUCCUUUUGAUAAAUGAGAGAAACAGGUGUAUUUUCAUUUAAGUUGAAAUGUUAUCAGUUUGCUGUGGUACAUAAUACACAUAUGAGUUGAUUGUUAGGAUGUGUUGCACAUUGACAGUCAGGUCAGAUAGGUGCCAAAUCCAUCUGUUAUUACUUCCUGUCCCCCUCCCCCCCUCUGCACCACCCAGCAGGAUGCUCCUGACAUCAGGCAGCAGCUGGAACAGACAGAGCCACGUUUGAUUAGGAAACAUUAACAUCAUUAUCAGGUUUACUUUCACACUGUUACAAACCAAAACGGGUGGUGAUCCCUGCUCUGUAUUGGGUGUCUGUAUUAUCUCCUGUCUGUGAUAUAUAUACACCUGAAUUAGCUGUAAGGUUCAAGGUACAGAAGCUUACAUUGUUCAGAAGGAGGAGCUCCACUUAAACAUGCACAUUUAGACAUAUCUGUCUUCACUCUGCGUUUGUAAAGUGUGUGUGUGCGUGUGUGUGUUGUGAGGGCAGAGUCUAGAUUAGUGACUGUUGUGACAGUUCAGCAGGACGUUGAUGCUGUGAACAUUUUGUUCUCUGGUGUUUCCACUCUGAACUGAAGUCAGUCACCUCCCGUAACCUUCCUGCUGAUAGAGGAAACAUCCCGUUCUCAUUCCCAGGGCAUCAAACUCUGACGCUUCUUUAUUAGACUCACCGGGCUCUCAGCUAACUCCAGUGGAAACCCAUCCACGGCAAAACGUGAUUCUGAGAGCCACUGAGGGAGUAAAAAGCGCAAGAAAGUCCAGGCAGGGUGAGUGGAUGGGUUAAAUGAAAUUGGAAUUUCAUCCAGGCGACCACAGUUCAUGUCCCAUUGUGAAACCAAAGAUCAGUGUUUGAACUUACGUCACUGACAUACCUACGUCCAGGCCCCCAGGAAGUGCUCCAGGAUUUGAAGCCAAUUUUAGUGAUGGGCAAACAGUGGAAUUAAAUCUGUCGUGUGGUGUCACGUGGCCCAAAAAGACCUCUUUCCAAAAACAUAAGGGUUCAACGUUAAUGUUUUUUUUCACUCGGCCAGUUGGAGAAGUGGGUCAGAAAUCUAGCUGCCUGAGGUCAGUUUUUACUCCCUAUACGAAUGUUUUAUAUAUUAGUAGUUUAUCAAAAAACUAGUGCUGGUGGUUUGAGUUGAAGGUGUGAGAAAGAAUAGUAUCAGUAACAUUGUUAACACUGUGCUACAUUACAGAGAAAUACAAACCGUACUAAUGAACCUUCAUUAAUAUAGGCCUAUAUUUUAUCUCCAAGUGCACGUCACACACUGAGCGAGCCGCCUGUUAAUGACGCUGUGGGCUAAUGGGCAUGUAGCUACUUCCAUGUUUCAGAUGAUACGUCAUGUUUGUAGUCGACCAAUGAAGAUGAGUUUACAUAUCACCUUGGGUUCGUCCUUCACCUUCUCAAAAUGAUCCCACACUUUGGAUUUCCUGCCCGACAUGUUAUUAACUAGCCUGUGGAAUAACCGCAGGUACCAGCCCUGGAAAUUAACCUGACUCCUGUCUGACUGCUGAGCGUGGACACUUCCUGUGUCUGUCCUUUCAAAUUAAAGUCACACAUGGUCCAGUCAUAUAGGUUUGGAUUUAUUUUGA